rnacentral:rRNA from 1 species
CCUACGGGAGGCAGCAGUGAGGAAUAUUGGUCAAUGGGCGGAAGCCUGAACCAGCCAAGUCGCGUGAGGGAAUAAGGCCCUACGGGUCGUAAACCUCUUUUGCCGGGGAGCAAGGGCCGGGACGAGUCCCGGUCCGGAGAGUACCCGGAGAAAAAGCAUCGGCUAACUCCGUGCCAGCAGCCGCGGUAAUACGGAGGAUGCGAUCGUUAUCCGGAUUUAUUGGGUUAAAAGGGUGCGUAGGCGGGCUUUUAAGUCAGCGGUAAAAAUUCGGGGCUCAACCCCGGCCGGCCGUUGAAACUGGGGGCAUUGAGUUGGCGAGAAGAAUGCGGAAUGCGUGGUGUAGCGGUGAAAUGCAUAGAUAUCACGCAGAACCCCGAUUGCGAAGGCAGCCUUCCGGCUCCCUACUGACGCUGAGGCACGAAAGUGCGGGGAUCGAACAGGAUUAGAUACCCUGGUAGUC